rnacentral:rRNA from 1 species
GACGAACGCUGGCGGCGUGCUUAACACAUGCAAGUCGAACGAUGAAGCCGGAGCUUGCUCCGGUGGAUUAGUGGUGAACGGGUGAGUAACACGUGAGCAAUCUGCCCUUGACUCUGGGAUAACUGCGGGAAACUGUAGCUAAUACCGGAUACGACACCUUGGGGCAUCCCAGGGUGUGGAAAGAAUUUCGGUCAAGGAUGAGCUCGCGGCCUAUCAGUGAGUUGGUGGGGUAAUGGCUCACCAAGGCGACGACGGGUAGCCGGCCUGAGAGGGUGACCGGCCACACUGGAACUGAGACACGGUCCAGACUCCUACGGGAGGCAGCAGUGGGGAAUAUUGCACAAUGGGCGAAAGCCUGAUGCAGCAACGCCGCGUGAGGGAUGAAGGCCUUCGGGUUGUAAACCUCUUUUAGCAGGGAAGAAGCGAAAGUGACGGUACCUGCAGAAAAAGCACCGGCUAACUACGUGCCAGCCGCCGCGGUAA